rnacentral:rRNA from 1 species
GACGAACGCUGGCGGCGUGCCUAAUACAUGCAAGUUGAGCGCUGAAGGUUGGUACUUGUACCGACUGGAUGAGCAGCGAACGGGUGAGUAACGCGUGGGGAAUCUGCCUUUGAGCGGGGGACAACAUUUGGAAACGAAUGCUAAUACCGCAUAAAAACUUUAAACACAAGUUUUAAGUUUGAAAGAUGCAAUUGCAUCACUCAAGGAUGAUCCCGCGUUGUAUUAGCUAGUUGGUGAGGUAAAGGCUCACCAAGGCGAUGAUACAUAGCCGACCUGAGAGGGUGAUCGGCCACAUUGGGACUGAGACACGGCCCAAACUCCUACGGGAGGCAGCAGUAGGGAAUCUUCGGCAAUGGACGAAAGUCUGACCGAGCAACGCCGCGUGAGUGAAGAAGGUUUUCGGAUCGUAAAACUCUGUUGGUAGAGAAGAACGUUGGUGGGAGUGGAAAGCUCAUCAAGUGACGGUAACUACCCAGAAAGGGACGGCUAACUACGUG